AACGAACGCUGGCGGCAGGCUUAACACAUGCAAGUCGAGCGCCCCGCAAGGGGAGCGGCAGACGGGUGAGUAACGCGUGGGAAUCUACCCAUCUCUACGGAAUAACGCAUGGAAACGUGUGCUAAUACCGUAUACGUCCUUCGGGAGAAAGAUUUAUCGGAGAUGGAUGAGCCCGCGUUGGAUUAGCUAGUUGGUGGGGUAAAGGCCUACCAAGGCGACGAUCCACAGCUGGUCUGAGAGGAUGAUCAGCCACACUGGGACUGAGACACGGCCCAGACUCCUACGGGAGGCAGCAGUGGGGAAUAUUGGACAAUGGGCGCAAGCCUGAUCCAGCCACGCCGCGUGAGUGAUGAAGGCCCUAGGGUUGUAAAGCUCUUUCACCGGUGAAGAUAAUGACGGUAACCGGAGAAGAAGCCCCGGCUAACUUCGUGCCAGCAGCCGCGGUAACAC
rnacentral:rRNA from 1 species